ensembl:lncRNA
GUUUUAAAGAUAAAUGUAACUAUAUAGUGUAAAAACUACAUGAUAUGCAGAAAGGGUGUAUUAAAUUGUUCAUAUCAUGUUCAGGUGAAGUAAGUCAAUAAGAUAGCAACGUUAAAUCUCGUGAAACCACGCGUGAUUUCAUCUCGCGGGCUUUGGAUCGUGGUUUAAAAAAAUGCAUCCAUCUCAGUCAAGUCGAGCAGCCAACUCUACGUUUUUUGAGAUGACCUCUAUUCUGCAUUUCACCAGGAGUCAGCUGAUGGAUUGUGGGUUCAAGGUGUUAUGAUGAAAUGCAGCAUUCCAGUGCAUCCCAACCAUGCCUUUACAGUCAAGGUUUCUGACGGAGCUGAGUUUCUCUCUGACAGUCUGCUGAAAGUGUUUGCAAAGUGAUCGGGGGAACAGGGCACAAAGCUAAAGGAUGUAGCUGCCAUGAUGACAGAUGACAUUAAUGCUCGAAGGGAGUCUCAUCAAAGUGCUCCGCAUCUGUGUGAAAGACAAUUGCAACAUCUUGGUGCAGGAGUUCAUGGACUUGACUGAGGCCACUGCACAGAUUGAGAAAACCACAAUGAACAUCUGUCUCCAGAGGAUGCGCCAGGCAAUGACUUUUCUGAUGUUGGCAUCAUCAUCGAGGGUAUAGUAGUUCUUCAAGAUCUGGAUAACGUGACCUUUGCAGUAGCCAUGC